rnacentral:rRNA from 1 species
UACGAAGGGGGCUAGCGUUGUUCGGAAUUACUGGGCGUAAAGGGCGCGUAGGCGGUCCUGAUCGUCGGAUGUGAAAGGCCUGGGCUCAACCUUGGAAUGGCAUCCGAUACGGCGGGACUGGAGUGUGGGAGAGGUUGGUGGAAUUCCCAGUGUAGAGGUGAAAUUCGUAGAUAUUGGGAAGAACACCGGUGGCGAAGGCGGCCAACUGGACCACAACUGACGCUGAGGCGCGAAAGCGUGGGGAGCAAACAGG